UGGGGAAUUUUGGACGAAUUGGGCGAAAGCCUGAUCCAGCAAUGCCGCGUGUGUGAAGAAGGCCUUCGGGUUGUAAAGCACUUUUGUCCGGAAAGAAAUCCUUGGCUCUAAUACAGUCGGGGGAUGACGGUACCGGAAGAAUAAGCACCGGCUAACUACGUGCCAGCAGCCGCGGUAAUACGUAGGGUGCAAGCGUUAAUCGGAAUUACUGGGCGUAAAGCGUGCGCAGGCGGUUUGCUAAGACCGAUGUGAAAUCCCCGGGCUCAACCUGGGAACUGCAUUGGUGACUGGCAGGCUAGAGUAUGGCAGAGGGGGGUAGAAUUCCACGUGUAGCAGUGAAAUGCGUAGAGAUGUGGAGGAAUACCGAUGGCGAAGGCAGCCCCCUGGGCAAGUACUGACGCUCAUGCACGAAAGCGUGGGGAGCAAACGGAUUAAUACCCUGGGUAGUCCACGCCCUAAANGAUGUC
rnacentral:rRNA from 1 species